UACGUAGGUGGCAAGCGUUGUCCGGAUUUAUUGGGUUUAAAGGGUGCGUAGGCGGCCCUGUAAGUCAGUGCUGAAAUAUCCCGGCUUAACCGGGAGGGUGGCAUUGAUACUGCGGGGCUAGAGUACAGAUGAGGUAGGCGGAAUUGACGGUGUAGCGGUGAAAUGCUUAGAUAUCGUCAAGAACACCUAUAGCGAAGGCAGCUUACUAGGCUGUAACUGACGCUGAGGCGCGAAAGUGUGGGGAGUCAAACAGG
rnacentral:rRNA from 1 species